UCUAUCUGUUGGAACGUUGAACACUUGCGAAAGAUCGUAGACGCGCGGGUUUUUUGCAAAAAACAUUUUACAUAUUAUGCAAUGUCAAAAACUCGAUGGGCGAGUUUUCAAUUUGAUUAAAUUUCAGGUGCAAGCCCAGUUUUCGACCGAAUUAAUUAUUAUAAUACUUUCAAAACGGUGUUUGUGAAUAUACGUCUUCGGAACAAUUACCUUUCUUUUGGAACAGGAGCUUUUAUUCUUACACUUUCGGCUUACCUACAUUCGUGCUACAACUAUUUGCCUUUGUCAGUCUUUCGUGCGUUUCAUCCCUCCGGCAGUUUUCCCGAAAAGGUUAAUUUCGCACUUCUCUGCAAGGCAACGCCAUAGAUAAGUGACCCGCUUCUCAUAAGACUCGGAGUAACCUCGUUAACUUACACGCUCCUAAAAGGU